CGUGGCAACCGGCCGUCCUGGCUUCAGGCCCGAGAGGCUCCGCGCAAAGCAGCAAGAUGGCCCUGAGCUCCUGGUCCCCAGAGCUGGGGUUCAGCGAGAAGACGCUGCGGGCGGCGGCCGUCUCCACCGGCCCGUCCCUGGAGUUAUGCACCUUCCCCUCCACCCUGGGCUCCUCGGUCGCGACCGCGGCGCUGGAGCAGCUCUUUGUUGUGGAACAAUCACUGCAAAGUGACUAUUUUAAAUGCAACGAAGAAGCUAGGACCUUUCUUAAGGACAUUGCUAUUGCCGUUAAGAAAUUGGAAGAAAUGAGAAAAGCCACAAUCGAUCUCCUGGAAAUUGAAAGCAUGGAACUCAGCAGACUAUACUUUUUACUGGAAACUCUUCCUACUAGCAUUGGCCGAGAAUUGGAAGAAUGUGUCAGAGAUGCACGCAGAUUAAAUCUUUUUGAGAUAAAUCAAAUAAAGACGGACAUUAAAAGGAUGGGUGAUGACAUACAGUCUCUGAAGAUGAGAAUACUUGAUCUGAAAAGAAUUAAUGAUGCUUUAGGUAAAGAGCAAGUGUUGCUGGCGAAGAAGCAUGAAGAGUUAGUGUUGACACUCAACCACACGAUGGAAGGAAAAGCCUCUACGACUGUUUACAUCAAUGAGACCUACACCCAAAUACACUUGAAGAGAAAAGAAAUUGAAUUGCAAAAACAACAUCUCAAACAAAUAGAGGAACAAUUGGAAAAAGAGAAGGAGGAAUUUUUGAAAAGAAAACAAAAAUUGAAUGAAGAGAUUGAGAGAUACAGAAAAUCCUGUGAAUUUAAGAGAGUGGAGACUUAUAAAAAGAAGAAAGAAUUGGAUACAUUAAAACUUCAAGAGUCAAAAAUGAAAGAAAGAGUUGCAACCAGCACAGUGGUUCUUAGUGAUCACAAUUUAGAGAUAGCACAACUACAAGAAUCAGUAAGACAUUGGGAACAAGAGCUCGAGGAAAUGAAGAAAUCCUGUAAGAUACUGGAGGAUAAAAUACAAUUUUUUGUGAAUACAAAAGAAAAACUGGAAGAUUCAUCUGGUUUUGAAAAAGAGGAAUUCUUGCAGAAGAUAAAGCACAUCGCUGAGCAACUACACAAAAAUCGUUUACAGAACAAGGAUCUACGGGAGAAAUUUCAGACUCUUAUCAGACAAUAUAAGAUUAUCUUAAACGAGGAGGAUAAACUUUUUAUGCAGAAACAGAAAAUUUACGAAGAGAAUCAGAAACAAUUGGCGUUCAUUUCUCAGAAAGAAAACUUCCUAUCACAAAGAAAAGUAGACAUCAAAAAUAUGGAAGAAGGACUUGUCACACUCCAUGAUCUUCAUCGAGCAACAAAGUCAGUUUAUCGGAAACAAAUAGAAAUCCUGAGUGAUAACCUGGAAAGAGAAAAUCAGAGAUGUGUUAUAACUCAGUGGAGAGUAGCUUGUUUGAGAAAAAAACACGCCCGUUGGGGAAAGAAGAUAAAAAUUGAAAUAGGAGAAAUUUUAGAUAAAACUCAGAGUUUGGAGCUCAGACGCGCUGAAUUAUUGCAAGAGACCACUGUACGAGAAAAAGAGAUCACUGAAUUUUUGGCAGAGAUUGAAAAAGUUACAUUAGAAUUAAAACAAGCGGAGGAGAAAUUUAUUGUCAAAGAAAAAAAGUUAGUUCAAGAGUUGAGCAAGUAUGAGAAAAAAUUUGUUAAGGCAACGCAAAGUAAUAAAGAAAAGGCAGAGGAACUAGUCGAGUGUCUUCCACAACUUCAAGUGGCAGAGGAAGAGUACAAAAGCAGACGUGGAAAAUUUGAAGAGCUCAGUAAUAUUAUUACAGCACAAAAGCAGGAGCAGAAUUUACUAAAUGAUUACAUUUCUCAAAUGACAAAAGAUUUUUCAAGAUAUUUUAACAACACGGAAAAAGUGAAGCAAGAACUCAAAUACUUACGAGAUCAAGAAAGCCAUAAGAUUAAAAAUCAUUUUGAGACUCUAAAGAACUUAGAAAAUGAAAUCUAUGUGCAUGACUUAAAAGUAGAUGCUUUGCUCCUGGAAAAUGAAAAAUUGAGAAAAUAUAUUGCAUAUAUGAAGAACAAGAUAGAACAGUACAGAAAAGGAGAAGACGACCUCAAGUCCACGUCAAGUGAACUGUCUUGUCAACUGACAGCUCAUCAGACGGAGUAUUUGGAUUUGUGGGAUGACUUUCAUACUACAGUUAAGGAAUUGGUAAACAGUGGUGAUGAGAUUUUGCAAGAAAUAAAAAACCUAACAACAAAGCUGAAGGAAAGAGAUGAAAACAUUGAACAUAUCAGCAUUUGGCUACAAGGGAAUCUUGACGAGUUGCGUGAUCUUAUGGAACAGGAAUUGGAAACAGACCUCCAUAAAAAGAAGAAACAAAUCCGUAUCAAAAAAGUCCAUCCCCCGGUGGUUGAAUGUACUAUGAAAAACAUUAACAAAGAAAAGCUAACAAAAUAACUUGAAGGCUACAACUGCUGUGAAUUUAAAAGGCACAAACAAAACUAUAAAACAAAAACAAUCAUCAGAAGAUGUCUUCAACCAAACUACCCAUAAAAAGAAAACUUGUUAUAUAAAUUAUCCUCUAUUUUUAUAAUCAAAAUACUGUAGUGGUAAAAAUAA